rnacentral:lncRNA from 1 species
UCAAUGUUGCCUGUCUUGAACAGCGGAGGGCAAAUUAUGAUGUGUGAACGACUUGAUCAGAAUUCUCUUGUUUCCACAACGGACAGUCUUCACUUGCAGAUUAAAUACUUCCCCGAAAGUAGAACAUUUCCACACUCAACUUCUCUGAGAAGACUAGCCAGAAAGAUCCAUAUAAGUGGCAGUCCGGUGAAUAUCAUUUUGUCGAUGUGAAUCAACAUAUUGUCUGGUCAGUUCUUCUGUACUUAUCCUAUACGCCCUUGUGUAUAACUUGACUUUGAUGAGCUACUGUUGUUUGCUGAUGCUGUCUCCCUCAUGUACAUUGCAUAUUCUGGUUACCAUGUUGUUUUAGUGACAUAGGACAACCUGUUUGUAGUUUGCAAACACUUGUAUGGAAGUGACGCUUCAUGCUAGUCAUUUAUAUGUUACUGUUAGAGUCCAACAUGUUUUGGAUAAAGAUGAAAAAUGAGCUUGCGGGGCUACUGCAUGCUGGCGGAUGAGUUGUUGCUAUGAACUCAUCUAUUUUUGUCAGCAUGUUCCUCCAAUAACCGCGAAACCGAAAAAUUGUCCUUUUUAGGAAUAUAUUUGCACAUGAAAUUAUAAUUAUAUAGGGAAGCUAGAGAAGCGUAAAAAAAGAUGAGAUAAUUUUUUUUUUAAAUUUUGGAAAAGUGGAAUCCAGUAAAAAUAUUUCUGGUAUGUAUCAUCAAGAGUGAAGACAGAGCAGUAAUUGUUGAGCUUUAAUGGAGAACAAGAGAAGACCAGUUUUUAAAAUUCUGAGAAGAAACCAGGUGAUAGAAUUAGAAGAGUUCAUAGAAAAACCUCAUCGUCGGAUUCGUAAGCUGGCCAGGGCUUCUCUUGAUUCUGACAGUGUCGAUGUUAAAGACCUGUAUGAGUCGCUUCAGAGAUUCGGACCUUUUUAUGAUAGAGAAAGUUCUUUGUUAGUUUCGCGGCCUAAGCAAGCUACUUGGCAGCAUGUUGUGAGUAAAUCACCAGGUGCAGAUUCUGAAAUAGAGGACGCAUAUAUUUCUGCAGUAGAAGAAAUAAAUCUGAAAGCGCUGAACACUUAUGAGGAAGAUGCAGUAAAAAAUUAUCUUGAUGAUGAGUUCAUUUGGAUGAUGAUUGAAGAUGGUUGCUUUAUUUUACAAGUGGUUUUUUACCUUCUUGGAGGAUCGGCAGAGCUUGAUUAUCCAAGUGAUCAUCAACUGUUUGGCGCGAAAUGCAACAUAAAAGCUCUUUCCAGGACAUGGACCAGAUCC